rnacentral:rRNA from 1 species
UACGUAGGGGGCAAGCGUUGUCCGGAUUUAUUGGGCGUAAAGAGCUCGUAGGCGGUUCCGUAAGUCGGGUGUGAAAAAUCUGGGCUCAACCUGGGAACUGCAUUUGAAACUGGCGGGCUUGAGUGUGGCAGAGGGGGGUGGAAUUCCGCGUGUAGCAGUGAAAUGCGUAGAGAUGCGGAGGAACACCGAUGGCGAAGGCAGCCCCCUGGGCCAACACUGACGCUCAGGCACGAAAGCGUGGGGAGCAAACAGG